CCUACACACGUUCGUCUCCCUAAAAAAAAUUACUCCUAACGCUAGUCAAUAUCAACUUUAGUACAACCAGUCAACAUACCUAAUCCAGUCCCCAAUAUAUCAUAUUGCAUCUAUAUUCGGGUUUUUUUUUUUAUUUACUGAGGAGAUAAUAUACAAUUAAGAUUUACAAUAUGAAGCCAUCAUAUCAUGACUUUAAACCGGUUUUUUAAAAUAUAUAUUUAAACCUGAAAAUGACAAUUUGUACAAAGUUUAUUCCAUUACCAUUUCCUGCGAAGGAAGUGCGCCCAAGUCCAAAUUCGACUCACACUUCAAAAUCGUGAAAUGACUGUCAACAUUUUGUUCUUUACCAGAUCGUUUAAUUCAGAUGCCGUGACCAAUGUCUGAAUUAUGAACCCAUCUUAUCGUCCAGGAUCAACAUUUUGUAAUGCGUCUGCCACGAGUUGAUGAAAGCCCUUCCAAAGCCAUCUAAACAAGAUGUGACUUGGUAUAAAGAUUAACGGGAAGACGGCGAGGAAACAAUACAUCUCAAGUAUUUACUGUUUUUGUUUACCAAGCUAAAGUCUCAAGCGCUAGAAGAUAAAAUCACCUGUUCAUGCACAAACUCGGCUAACGGAACCAGAAGACCCCCCAAAAACUGAACCGUCGCAAGGUGAAGGAGGGCAAAUGUGGUGACAGAAAAACCAACAUCAACGGAAACACGUCCAAUAUGAUUCUUUAGGGGGGAUAUCUCGAAUUUUAUCGACAUUGAUGGUGAUUUUCUGCGCUCUCAAAAAAGUGCAUUGUUAAACUUGAAAAUUCCCAGACACCACCCUUAUGUUUUAUCACUACAGACAUUUCAAAUAAGUUACUCACGUCCUCCCACUUAAAAAGGCACUGUCAUAAGUGAACUUUAAAAUCAUACACGGAAUUACAUCUGAUUUCAUAUCACUCACACGGAAAAGAUGACAAACUUAGAUAGAAAAACUACGUACAAAAGUAAAUUUGAAACAAGUAGGGACGUGUCAAAAUGAAGCUGUGUAAAGUGUAACGACAUAUAAAAACCUCAGCCAAAAACACACCAGUAACGGAACGGACAAAACAAUCGCAUUUACAAAGACGGGGAAAACUUCCCACCAAGCUCGAGUCCUCCCUAAUCUUAGGAAUACAGAUGGGAGCGACACACCUUGUUAUUGAGAGCGGUCAAGGUCACAUUAUAGCAAACCAUCUUAUUUACAACCUUUACUUGCAUGUUUCUACUUUUGUGAAAUUAUUCAGUGAAAUAACUCAUCGAAAACGGACAAAAUUUAUCCCAAAUAGUUGUCCAAAAACGAUUUCCUUAAAGUUCAAACAUUUAAUUUGCACUAAUAACACACUUCUACCACACUGUCGGCAAACAUUUAAACAAAUGUAUUGAAUGAAGUAGGUAGGCAUUUAAUUUCACAGUUUCAUUUCAUGCCGGAGUGAAAAGUCAGCAUUUUAUUUGACGGGUUUGAUUGUUAAUACAAGUCUUGUUUGAUCGUUAAAUCCCAGCUCUGCUGUUUACCUGGGAUAUUAACACAGGUAGAUGAUACCUGUGUGUACCUAUAAAGCUAAUGAACCAUA